rnacentral:rRNA from 1 species
CCUACGGGAGGCAGCAGUAGGGAAUUUUCGUCAAUGGGCGCAAGCCUGAACGAGCAAUGCCGCGUGAACGAGGAAGGUCUUCGGAUCGUAAAGUUCUGUUGAAGGGGAAAAAGAGCGGAGAGAGGAAAUGCUUUCUGAUUGAUAUUACCCUUCGAGGAAGUCACGGCUAACUACGUGCCAGCAGCCGCGGUAAUACGUAGGUGGCGAGCGUUAACCGGAAUUAUUGGGCGUAAAGCGAGCGUAGGCGGCCUGUUAAGUCUGGGGUGAAAGGUACCGGCUCAACCGGGACAGGCCCUGGAAACUGGCGAGCUUGAGAGCAGGAGAGGGCGGUAGAACUCCAGGUGUAGCGGUAAAAUGCGUAGAUAUAUGGAAGAACACCAGUGGCGAAGGCGGCCGCCUGGCCUGUUACUGACGCUGAGGUGCGAAAGCGUGGGGAGCAAAUAGGAUUAGAUACCCGGGUAGUC